rnacentral:rRNA from 1 species
GACGAACGCUGGCGGCGUGCUUAACACAUGUAAGUCGAACGAUGAACCGGAGCUUGCUCUGGGGAUUAGUGGCGAACGGGUGAGUAACACGUGGGCAACCUGCCCCAGACAUCGGGAUAACCACUCGAAGAGUGGCUAAUACCGAAUACGACCACUUUGGGCAUCCAACGGUGGUGGAAAGGAUUCUGGUCUGGGAUGGGCCCGCGGCCUAUCAGCUAGUUGGUGGGGUAAUGGCCUACCAAGGCGACGACGGGUAACCGGCCUGAGAGGGCGACCGGUCACACUGGGACUGAGACACGGCCCAGACUCCUACGGGAGGCAGCAGUGGGGAAUAUUGCGCAAUGGGGGGCAAACCCUGACGCAGCCAUGCCGCGUGAACGAUGAAGGCCUUAGGGUUGUAAAGUUCUUUACCCGUGACGAUGAUGACGGUAACGGGGGAAUAAGCUCCGGCUAACUUCGUGCCAGCAGCCGCGGUAAU